rnacentral:rRNA from 1 species
GCAACUCGACUGCACGAAGCUGGAAUCGCUAGUAAUCGCGGAUCAGCACGCCGCGGUGAAUACGUUCCCGGGCCUUGUACACACCGCCCGUCACACCAUGGAAGUCUGCAAUGCCCGAAGCCGGUGGCCUAACCACUUAUGUGGAAGGAGCCGUCUAAGGCNGGGCAGAUGACUGGGGUGAAGUCGUAACAAGGUACC